UUACCUACGGGGGGCAGCAGUAGGGAAUUUUCGUCAAUGGGCGCAAGCCUGAACGAGCAAUGCCGCGUGAACGAGGAAGGUCUUCGGAUCGUAAAGUUCUGUUGAAGGGGAAAAAGAGCGGAGAGAGGAAAUGGUCUCCGAUUGAUAUUACCCUUCGAGGAAGUCACGGCUAACUACGUGCCAGCAGCCGCGGUAAUACGUAGGUGGCGAGCGUUAUCCGGAUUUACUGGGUGUAAAGGGCGUGUAGCCGGGCUGACAAGUCAGAUGUGAAAUCCGGGG
rnacentral:rRNA from 1 species